rnacentral:rRNA from 1 species
AACGAACGCUGGCGGCAUGCCUAACACAUGCAAGUCGAACGAGACCUUCGGGUCUAGUGGCGCACGGGUGCGUAACGCGUGGGAACCUGCCCUUAGGUUCGGAAUAACUCCCCGAAAGGGGUGCUAAUACCGGAUAAUGUCUUCGGACCAAAGAUUUAUCGCCUUUGGAUGGGCCCGCGUUGGAUUAGCUAGUUAGUAGGGUAAAAGCCUACCAAGGCGACGAUCCAUAGCUGGUCUGAGAGGAUGAUCAGCCACACUGGGACUGAGACACGGCCCAGACUCCUACGGGAGGCAGCAGUGGGGAAUAUUGGACAAUGGGCGAAAGCCUGAUCCAGCAAUGCCGCGUGAGUGAUGAAGGCCUUAGGGUUGUAAAGCUCUUUUACCCGGGAUGAUAAUGACAGUACCGGGAGAAUAAGCUCCGGCUAACUCCGUG